rnacentral:rRNA from 1 species
UACGUAGGCAGCAAGCGUUGUUCGGAGUUACUGGGCGUAAAGAGUGCGUAGGUGGUGCCCUAAGUCUGUUGUGAAAUCUCCCGGCUUAACUGGGAGGGUGCGGUGGAAACUGGGGUGCUUGAGUGUGGGAGAGGUAAGCGGAAUUCCUGGUGUAGCGGUGAAAUGCGUAGAUAUCAGGAGGAACACCGGUGGUGUAGACGGCUUACUGGGACCACGCUGACACUGAGGCACGAAAGCGUGGGUAGCAAACAGG